rnacentral:misc_RNA from 1 species
AGCUUAAAAUUAUAUUGAAAUCAUCUUCAAAAUUUAAAUAUUGAGAACAAAUUCCAAUUAAAAAAACAAAAAAUCUCAUUUCCAGAUUUAUUUGCAGAUAUCACUAACAAAUUACCACACUUGAAAAAUUAAAAGAAUUAGAAAGAAAGACUUGAACAGAAACAAAAAUCUAGGCAUUAAUUGGGCGUUCUCCUCAAGUAUCCCCUGCCAAGUUGAAGGGCAUUUUCGAAUCUAGACCUGAGGAAGAGAGCACCCUUGCUGCUGCAGAAAACAUGUGUUGUUCUUGUUGACGAUGCUAUAAUGCUUCCAUUAUUCCCUUGCUCUUCUUCUUCCGCAAGUCUUGGGAACAUUAUCGACCCUGUAUCGAUUGAGACCACCACCCAACUUCUCUGCAUCUUCAGUUUUUUUAUACUUUCCUGGCUUAUCCCCCUGCAUCUUUUUACCUUCAGCUUCACCAGGUUGGGGCAACCACUCCCAAUGGCUUCAAUUCCAGGUUCCGAGAUGGGGCAGUUCUUGAUACAGAGCUUCUUCAAGGCAUAGAAUUUUUCUGCUAUCAAUGCCAUUUCAGGAUCCCCAACUGAAUCGGUGUUACAAAUAGCUAGUCUUUCCAGUCCCCGGCAGUUGGAAGCCAGGACAGUAAGAGAGGAAACACUUAGAGGAACCCCCAUGAGGACUAGUUCUUGCAAUCGGAAGCAAUGAUUGGCUAUGGUUAAUAACCCUUCAUCCCCAAUAGUCCGGCCUCCGAACCUGCUCCACGCAUCUAUAUGCAGCUUCCUGAGAUUCUUGCAAGAAUUUGCAACUGCUGACAACCCGUCGUCUGUACAAUCUGUGGUGCGGCUGAGCUGCAGAACUUGGAGAUAAGGGCAAGAAGAAGAGAUGGCAAUGAGGCCUGCGUCACCCAUCUGAACAUUCUCCAUCUGGAUCUCGGAAAUGGAAGUGAUUCUUGCUUGGAGACUCUGAAGGACCUUGUCCCAAUUACCAGAGCUCCUGCAAACGAUAAGGGUUUUCAAGGUUGUAACAGAAACAGAGAGAAGAGGGAUGAAAAUGCGAGCAUUGUGGAGGUCCUUUAGGCAGAGACGCUCCAGCUUAACCUUACUAUUUUUGUUCCCAAUAACAAUAGCAUCAUUAUGGGCAUCGAGCUUGCGAAGACGCUUAAGAGUGAGAUGCUGUAGAGAAGGGCAAUUGGUUAGAAGAGAGUUAAGACCUCUGGCACCGAAACCACAUGAAGCAAAAGAGAGUUUCGAGAGAAAAGGAGGACGGUGCAGGGAAAAUGCUUGCAACCCAUCAUCAGAAAUAUCAAUACAGCCCUUGAGUUUGAGUUUCUUGAGCGAAGCAAGAAAGAUAGGAAUGCGAGACAAGGCAUGAUCGUCAAUACUGAGAAGCUUGCGAGAACAUUUGAGGGAGAGAACAGAGACAGAACUAAACCGAGAAAGCAAGGCAGGUAGAGAAGGAGACAUCUCACAAGGAGCAAGCAAGACAAGGCGGUAUCUGGACUUGGAAUCCACAACCAUCCAUCGCUUACAAACCAGAGAGCAAGAAUUCCUGUCAUGAGAACCAAGAUUCCCAAACACUGUGGCGAGGCAUUCGUCGGGCAGGGACAGUGUUAGAUCGUCAUGUUUCUUGCUGAUGACAAUGGAAUGGCUGUCAGCUGUUUGCUUGCAGAUCUCAUUGCUACAAGAAGAAGAAGAGCCUUGACCCAUCUCAUUAAAAACUGUAACCAGCCCAGUUCCUUAUUUCAGCUAAUAAAAGAAUCGGACGUUGCUAGCCAUACAUAUAGAAAGCAAGGUACUUCAUUUCUAGGAUAUAUUUUUUGUUGCGAAAGUACAAAAUGGAGAAGAAGGAGAAGAAAAAAGGAAGAAAAAGAGAUGAGAAAUAUGGUAAAUUUGGGGCAAGAGUUUCCAGCCUGUUUGUAAUGGGAGGUUGUUAAAUUUUAAUUUAAAUUUAAG